ensembl:snoRNA
CCUGCCCAACAUGGAGAAACCUCGUCUCUACUAAAAAUACAAAAUUAUUGGGGCAGAGAGAAAGUGACGAUUUCUACACUCAGUGCUCCGGGGCCAGUGAGCACUGGGAAUGGUUUAUAGCCUGACAUUA